ensembl:lncRNA
AUAACCUACAGUUGACAGAUUCAAGUGAAGAAAGUGAGGUCGGAGCGGAGCGUGAGGAGGUCGGAGCGGAGCGUGAGGAGGUCGGAGCGGAGCGUGAGGAGGUCGGAGCGGAGCGUGAGGAGGUCGGAGCGGAGCGUGAGGAGGUCGGAGCGGAGCGUGAGGUCAAUGAAGGAAAUCUUGUAUAUCCACAGAUUGCACAAAGUAAAAAUGGAGCGGGUAAGGUCAUUGAACCCAACAGAAUACUAAACAAGGAGAUGAAGCCAAGCAGUAAGAAGAAAACAAAUGAACAAUCUGCUUCUCUGGAAAAUGCAAGGAGGGUCAAAAAGCAUCCUUGGUCUCCCACGGAGGUUGCUGCGAUAAUGAAGUAUUUUGGCGAACAUAUCAAAAAAGGAAAACUGGCCACUAUUAUCGAAUGCCAGCAAUGCAAAACUGCAGAAGAUCCUGCUCUGGCUGGUCGUUCUAUUCAAAACAUCAGAGAUUUUGUGAGGAAUCGGGGCGUGUCGUUGAAGAAAAAAGAAAAUCCUAUGUAGAGGAGUC